AUUCAUAUAGCUUAUAAAUAGAGCAUUGCAUUGAAGCUGCAAAGGAGACAAUUAUGUUUGUGAAUA
rnacentral:tRNA from 1 species